rnacentral:pre_miRNA from 1 species
CUCGGUGUGGGGGGGUUCCCUCAGCCUGGAUUGCGAGAGGGUGCAGGCCAGGCCGAAGACCCCACCAGUGCAUG